rnacentral:rRNA from 1 species
AACCGUUCAGGGGUAAACCUGAGAAACCCAAAAGAUCGAAUGGGGAGAUUCAUCGUCAGCGGUACUGGUACGUGUGCGGUUCGCGAUGUCCGAGACCUCGGUCUCGCGGCACGCGUCCGCAUGUUUUUAUUGCCUGGUAUCGUCGGCGUGCACUUCUCCCCUAGUAGGACGUCGCGACCCGUUGGGUGUCGGUCUACGGCCCGGGUGGGUGCCUGUCUCGUGUGCGCUUUAUCGCGUCACUGCGGGGCAGACCCCCGGUUGCCUGACCGGCUGCUCGGCGGUACUCGCAAGGUAUCUGGCCGCAAACAUUCGAACUGCGUCCGGCCCGUCGCAAGCGAGGCGAGUGUUCCCGAAUGUACGGAUCUAACGCCGUCAUCGGGCCUAGCCAGCUGUUGGCUGACGGUGUCCUAGGACUGGCUGUAACAAUUAUGAUACCGGUCAGCGACGCUACUGCUUUGGGUACUUUCAGGACCCGUCUUGAAACACGGACCAAGGAGUCUAACAUGUGCGCGAGUCAUUGGGAACUAUUAAGCCUAAAGGCGCAAUGAAAGUGAAGGUCGGCCUUGCGCCGACCGAGGGAGGAUGGGCCGCGUCACGAUGCGGUCCCGCACUCCCGGGGCGUCUCGUUCUCAUUGCGAGAAGAGGCGCACCCAGAGCGUACACGUUGGGA